CUCUGUGAUUCAUAGCCCCAGAGAGUCAUAAGAAUAUUUUUUUAAAUAUAUUUUAUUUGAUCAUUUCCAAGCAUUAUUCAUUAAAGACAUAGAUCAUUUUCUUUUCCUCCCUCCAACCCCCCAUAGCUGACGUGUAAAUCCACUGGGCAUUAGAUGUUUUCUUGAUUUGAACCCAUUGCUUUGUUGAUAAUAUUUGCAUUAGAGUGUUCUUUUAGAGUCUCUCCUCUGUCAUGUCCCCUCAACUGCUGUAUUCAGGCAGUUGCUUUUCCUCGGUGUUUCCACUCCCACAGUUUGUCCUCUGCUUAUGAAUAGUGUUUUUUCUCCUAGAUCCCUGCAGAUUGUUCAGGGACAUUACACCGCCACUAAUGGAGAAGUCCAUUACGUUCGAUUAUACCACAGUGUAUUAGUCUCUGUGUACAAUGUUCUCAAAUAGUAGCUACAUUCUGGUCCCUGAAGGGAAGAAAUCAUUAUAGAAAAAGUCAUGGGUCUUUCACAGAUUUUCCCAGCCUGUGACAAUAGAAGUCAGGUACUAAUAAGAUGCACCUGAGUAAAAGCCCCAUAUAUAAAAUCUAAAAAAAUCCAUCUGGCCUCACUAGCAUUACUGGGCAACCUAAUUAUGGAGAUGAGACAAAUGUCCAGGAGCAUCGGAGACCUGAUGAAACGACAUCAGAGAGAAGACUCUCCACAGAGUGCUAAUGACCUCUGAAUUCCUUCUGCCCUAGUCAGACAAUCAUGGCACCCAUGGUCCUUGAUUGUACUCCUUCCUUGUUUAGCAAGAAAGUUUGCAAACUGAUUGACAGUCCUCAAACCAAGAUUCUACAGGGCUGGCUGGGUCAGGAUUCUAAGACAGUUGGGGGCAGGAGAGGCUGACAACUGUCUCUCUCAAGCUCGGGUUCAGACAGAGAGGCUGUGUGUCAAAGAGUCUUCCUGAAGAAAUCAUCUUUGAAGCUGCCUGACUUGGAUUAUCUUCAAGGAAAGGUUGAGUGUGGGUUCCCCUUUCACACUGGUGGACAGAUGUGAGUAGGUGUGAACUUUCUUCCUUCCUGGAUCUUGUAAGGACCCUACAUCUGGAUUCUUCAGGCUGACCCUACCAAGGAAUUUCAGAAUUUGUGACAAGGAUGAAGAAAUGGCAAAGGAGACCAAGAGGAAGGUUGAGAGGAAAACCAAGAGAGAACAUUUUCACAAAAAUCCAAAGAAUAAAGUAUAGUGUCCAGUAGGAAAAGUUGAAUGAUGAUUCCAAAUAUUUCAGAUGAAUAAAGAUAAGGAUUGAGAAAAGGCCAUUAGAUUUGACAAUUAAAUUUGAUACCAAGCUGAUAGGAAUAACUAA